ACUUAGAUCUAGAUCUUAAACAUGAGGAUCGUUGUAAUUUUUGGUCUUGCUUCUGCCUAUAUUGCUUAUGUUCUGGCAGUGGACUGCCAAACCAAUGAAUUCUGCCAAGAUGUUCACAAUAGUCACAUGGGCUGUGCGCAUGGCAGUCUUGCAUGCAUCAACAACAAAUGCACGUGCUAUAUCCCCAAUAACCACAACAUAGCAUGUACGGCUAAAGACGUCUGUCUGUCGGCGCCCAUCACACAACUGAACUGUACGGCAGAUUUGAGACACUGCGUGGACGGCAAAUGUGUCUGUACUUCAGACAUAUAAAUUUUCUCUCGUUUGAAGAAGAUGUAUGCCAUCCAUUACUUGCUGAUGACGUUGCUUAUUAAAAAAUCAAAUUAAAAGUAGUGAACAC
rnacentral:sRNA from 1 species